GCAAGGUAGACAGUUAAUCAAUCAUAUUAUGCUCCAUUAUUCAGUGACUACUGACAAGAGAGUUGCCUAUGUUUCUCUUUAUCUGGUAGAGACUUCUCCCUAAUACAAUUAUGCAGUUGGUUAAAGGUUGGCAUUUGAAGAAACAGGAUGAGAUGAUCAAGACUGGCAUGGGUUGCAACUGGUUUAUGGGCUGUCUGCUGCUUGUAAUUUGAAAGAAAUUGGUUAUCUAUCUGAAAAUGUGGAAGACCAGUGACAAACUGAAAGCAUAUGCUUAUCUUCCGUCUUUUUUUUU
rnacentral:misc_RNA from 1 species